rnacentral:rRNA from 1 species
UUGGAGGGCAAGUCUGGUGCCAGCAGCCGCGGUAAUUCCAGCUCCAAUAGCGUAUAUUAAAGUUGUUGCAGUUAAAAAGCUCGUAGUUGAAUUUCGGGAUCAAUGGAUUGGUCAUGCCGUUGGUAUGUACUGAUUUUAUUGAUUCUCACCUUCUAAAGAAUCAUAAUGCCAUUAAUUUGGUGUUGUGAGGAAUUAGGACUGUUACCUUGAAAAAAUUAGAGUGUUUAAAGCAGGCUUACGCUUGAAUACAUUAGCAUGGAAUAACGAAAUAGGACAUCGCAUUCUAUUUUGUUGGUUUCUAGGAUCGAUGUAAUGAUUAAUAGGGAUAGUUGGGGGCAUUAGUAUUCAAUUGUCAGAGGUGAAAUUCUUGGAUUUAUUGAAGACUGACUACUGCGAAAGCAUUUGCCAAGGAUGUUUUCAUUAAUCAAGAACGAAGGUUAGGGGAUCGAAGACGAUCAGAUACCGUCGUAGCCUUAACCAUAAACUAUGCCGACUAGGGAUCGGAUGAUGUUAAUUUUAUAAUGACUCAUUCGGCGCCUUACGGGAAAC